GAGAGGACGAUCAGCCACACUGGGACUGAGACACGGCCCAGACUCCUACGGGAGGCAGCAGUGGGGAAUCUUGCGCAAUGGGCGAAAGCCUGACGCAGCGACGCCGCGUGAGGGAAGAAGGCCUUCGGGUUGUAAACCUCUUUCAGGAGGGACGAAGCUACUCGGGUUAAUAGCCCAGAGGGUGACGGUACCUCCAGAAGAAGCCCCGGCUAACUACGUGCCAGCAGCCGCGGUAAUACGUAGGGGGCAAGCGUUGUCCGGAUUUACUGGGCGUAAAGAGCGUGUAGGCGGCAAAGCAGGUCUGUUGUGAAAACUGGAGGCUCAACCUCCAGACGUCGACAGAAACCGCUUGGCUAGAGUCCGGAAGAGGAGAGUGGAAUUCCUGGUGUAGCGGUGAAAUGCGCAGAUAUCAGGAAGAACACCAAUGGCGAAGGCAGCUCUCUGGGACGGUACUGACGCUGAGACGCGAAAGCGUGGGGAGCGAACAGGAUUAGAUACCCUGGUAGUCCACGCCGUAAACGAUGGGUGCUAGGUGUGGGGGGUGUCGAC
rnacentral:rRNA from 1 species